rnacentral:pre_miRNA from 1 species
GAAUAAAGAGAGCUGUCCGUCGACAGUCCACAUGCCAAUUUAAUACUGUCAUGGAAUUGCUCUCUUUGUAUAA